GAUGAACGCUGGCGGCGUGCCUAAUACAUGCAAGUCGAGCGAACAGACGAGGAGCUUGCUCCUCUGACGUUAGCGGCGGACGGGUGAGUAACACGUGGAUAACCUACCUAUAAGACUGGGAUAACUUCGGGAAACCGGAGCUAAUACCGGAUAAUAUAUUGAACCGCAUGGUUCAAUAGUGAAAGACGGUUUUGCUGUCACUUAUAGAUGGAUCCGCGCCGCAUUAGCUAGUUGGUAAGGUAACGGCUUACCAAGGCAACGAUGCGUAGCCGACCUGAGAGGGUGAGCGGCCACACUGGAACUGAGACACGGUCCAGACUCCUACGGGAGGCAGCAGUAGGGAAUCUUCCGAAAUGGGCGAAAGCCUGACGGAGCAACGCCGCGUGAGUGAUGAAGGUCUUCGGAUCGUAAAACUCUGUUAUGAGGGAAGAACAAAUGUGUAAGUAACUAUGCACGUCUUGACGGUACCUAAUCAGAAAGCCACGGCUAAAUACG
rnacentral:rRNA from 1 species